GUGAAUCAUCGAAUUUUUGAACGCAAAUUGCGCUUCCUGGUAUCCCGGGAAGUAUGCCUGUUUGAGGGUCAGUAUUAACAAAAAAUCGUUUUGGUUGCAAAUUGUUACGUGUCCGGAGUUUGGGCUUAUCUUAACUUUUUUGGUUAUGGUGCUUGAAAUAUACCUUUGUUGCUCAUUUUUAUACGUACAUGAAUUUUUUUUUAUGCGUCUAUUCUUAAUGCCAAAAUCUUAUUAUAUGCGAUCACAUUG
rnacentral:misc_RNA from 1 species